rnacentral:rRNA from 1 species
UACGAAGGGGGCUAGCGUUGUUCGGAAUUACUGGGCGUAAAGCGCGCGUAGGCGGCCGCUUAAGUCGGAUGUGAAAGCCCCUGGCUCAACUGGGGAAGUGCACCCGAAACUGAGUGGCUUGAGUACUAAAGAGGGUCGCGGAAUUCCCGGUGUAGAGGUGAAAUUCGUAGAUAUCGGGAGGAACACCGGUGGCGAAGGCGGCGACCUGGGUAGAUACUGACGCUGAGGCGCGAAAGCGUGGGGAGCAAACAGG